UACGAGAGGCCCAAACGUUAUUCGGAUUUACUGGGCUUAAAGAGUUCGUAGGCGGCGCAGAAAGUAGGGUGUGAAAGCCCUCGGCUCAACCGAGGAAUUGCGCUCUAAACUACUGUGCUUGAGGAACCUAGAGGUGAGCAGAACUGAUGGUGGAGCGGUGAAAUGCGUUGAUAUCAUCAGGAAUACCGGAGGCGAAGGCGGCUCACUGGGGGUUAUCUGACGCUGAGGAACGAAAGCCAGGGGAGCGAACGGG
rnacentral:rRNA from 1 species